AGGCAUAUCUACAAAGGCAGCAUUUAACCGUAUUUGACUACAAUUGAAAGUUAAAAAUUGAAAUUUUUGACGGCUGGGUGCAAUGGCUCACACCUGUAAUCCCAGCACUUCGGGAGGCUGAGGUGGGUGGAUCACCUGAGGCCAGGAAUUCGAGACCAGCCUGGGCAACAUGGUGAAGUCCUGUCUCUACUAAAAAUGCGAAAAUUAGCCGGGCUUGAUGGUUCCCAGCUGAGGCACGAGAAUUGCACGAAUCCGGGAGGCAGAGGUUGCAGUGAGCUGAGAUUGCACCAGGCACUCCAGCCUAGGCGACAAAGUGAGACACUGUCUCAAAAAUAAAUAAAUAAAUAAAUAAAUAAAAUUUAGGGGAAUUAAAAACUGGAAAUUAAGUUUUUCAAGUAUACAUCUCUCUAAUAAUAAAAUAACCACUUAAAGUGAAAAAAGGAAAAAAAAGAAUGGUCAACUAGUAGAUCCACUCUAAAAGUAGAGCAUCAAGCAUUAGUAACUCUAAUAAAUAGAAAAUAUGUUUUAGAAUUUGAAAACAUUAGUGAGGCAGAUGGUAUUUUCCAAAGAUGGCUGCACCAAUAUAUUUCAUCCCACAUGUUUUUCUUAUAAUGUGAUGUUGACAUUUCUGCAUUGAGAAAUGGGGACUGAGUUCCCUCUUCUUGAAUCUGGGUGGGCAUUUGUAAUGGCCUCAACCAAUAGAAGACAUCAUAAAUGGUACAAUGUGACCUCAGAAGUUAAGUCAUAAAAAAAUUCAGAUUCUGCUCUGUUUUCUCUUUCUAGGGACAAAUGCUUUUGGAAUCCUGACCUGACAUGAAAAAAGUUCACCUGAAGCUGCCAUCCUGGAAGACUAUGAGAUGGAGAUGCCCAAGAAGCCCCAGGUAUUCCUAAUCCCAAUUGUUUAAGUCUUUCCAGUGUUAACCACCAGAUAUGUGAUGGAUUAAGGACUCCAGAUUAUUCCAGUUCCCAGCUGUCUUAGUCAGGGUUCUCCGGAGAAGUUAAGCUGCUCCACCAAGUAUGCCCAAAUUGUAGAAUUGUGAGCAUAAUAAAUAUUGUAAUUUUAAUCCACUAGCUUUCAGGAUAAUUUGUUAUUCAGCAUUAGUAGCUAGAAGUUAUAUUUGUAAACCAUAGUCUAUUUGUAUAUACAUUUGUUGUUUCAUUCCUUUUUUUUGAGAUGCAGAAUCAGAGGCCCUCCUUAUUGGACUGGGUGUAAACUCCUUGGUUGUUAGAUUUUGGAAAUCAGCAACUAUUUACCAAUCAGUGUGGAAUUAUGUUAAUAUUUAAAUAACAAAACCAGUGCAGGCUAGGUAGGUAUCAGCUAAGCAUGAGGUAUGAUACCUUAUUGCAGUGUUUUCAGUGGGCUUUAGCCCAUUUAUUUGAUCAUCCUAAUAGCCUCAGAAGAAAAACACAGCAAGACUUUGCCUUCGGUGAGAAUGCACUGGACAACCUAAGCAGAGUCUGUUUUUCACUGGGCAGAUCUCCAGGUAUGAGUCUAUCUCAACAACAUUGUGUUUGUCUCAUGAUGGAUGCUACUCAGCCCUGAGACCACAACUCAACUCAAAGGAAUCGCCCUGAGAUUCUGAGACUCUGUGGGAGGGCACAUGAUGGAACCUGUUGCGGAUCAGAUACCUAAAACACAAAACACACAAAAAAUCAUGUAGAAUGUACCUUAAAGUUCUUUGAGUAUUCAGCCAUUUGGAGUGACAGAUAAAAUACCAGCAAGGAAACAAUGUUUGUCUACCACACAGAAAAAGAGAAACUUGAAAUUUGAGCUCAUCAGUGGCUCAGAAUCUCACUCUUCUAAAUGUGAAGUUAACCUGACCAUUGUGAAAAGCCAUAGCUUGGAACAGAAGAAACUCUAAUUAAACAGAGUCUAGUAAAAUUAAAACAGGGCCCUUUACCUCAUUGACUUUACUUACAAUCUCUUGUUGGUAAAUAUGAAAACAGAUGGGUUCUGCUUUAUUGCUAGGUAACAGUGUAUUGCUAUCUAUGAAAGUCAAGGCAUCACUCCAGGAAAAAGAUCAGAGAGAUCUUCAAUCUACCUUGUGCCUAAAUGAAUUUAGCAACAAACAAGCCUAAAUAAGCACAAAUUCAUUUUGGAUGGUCUGGGAAUUUAUUUCAUGACUUUAAAAAAGAUGUUAAAAUCGACACCCCAAAUAAUCUAUAAAUAUAAUUAACAUUGAUUUUGCACAAACCAGUUGCUGAGAAUGAAAUUCUUGUGAUAAAAUAGCUCAGGGUUUAUAAGGGCUUAAAACUUUCAUAGUUCAGUAGCAGGGUAUUGUUGAUCUAACCUACAUCUGAUUGCAAACCUUGUACUCACAAUGACUUGCCCUGUGACUCUAGAAUAACGAAUUUAACCCCUGUGGACUUAGUAUUAGCAGGAAUUCUAAUUUUAAGGUAUGUAUCUUUUUUUGAAGUAUAGGAUACAUCUUGAAGAUUUGGUGGAACUAUAGGACAAACAGCUAAAUCACCACCUUGUUUGAGUUAUUGGUUCAUAGUGGUUGGGAAAGGUAACUAGGAUUUAGGAAGUACAUGCUGUAACAUGUAAAGAUGACAAAAAAGAAUAAAGAUGCCCUUCACAAAGUUAGUUAUUCACAAUCAAAAAUAAAACAACUUGUUUAAUGCAGUGCUGUGCAUUUAGCUGACAGUUAAUAAAAACUCAUUGAAUGGAUGGGUGAAUUAAUUCAUCCAUCAGUGAGAUAAGCUAGGAGGAACUAGCUGGAAAUCCAAGGCAGAACAAAUCCACUUCUUAAGUAUCUGGUUGUUCAGAACAAAGUAGUUUUGGGGAUUAAAUUACACGUCUGGAAUAUUGCUUCAGAUCCACGUUUCACUUUUGUUGGCUAAUCUCUC
rnacentral:lncRNA from 1 species